rfam:Colwellia sp. PAMC 20917, complete genome.
UAGGUUAAAUCAACAUCGUGGGUUCAGUGUAAUAAGCCCCGCGUAUUGGGGCUUUUUCGUAUCUGGGACAUUUGUUCAGCACGAUAAGUUUUAAGAAUUGCUGGGCUAUAAGCCCUUUUUUU